AUUGAACGCUGGCGGCAGGCCUAACACAUGCAAGUCGAGCGGAUGAAGGGAGCUUGCUCCUGGAUUCAGCGGCGGACGGGUGAGUAAUGCCUAGGAAUCUGCCUGGUAGUGGGGGAUAACGUCCGGAAACGGGCGCUAAUACCGCAUACGUCCUGAGGGAGAAAGUGGGGGAUCUUCGGACCUCACGCUAUCAGAUGAGCCUAGGUCGGAUUAGCUAGUUGGUGGGGUAAAGGCCUACCAAGGCGACGAUCCGUAACUGGUCUGAGGGGAUGAUCAGUCACACUGGAACUGAGACACGGUCCAGACUCCUACGGGAGGCAGCAGUGGGGAAUAUUGGACAAUGGGCGAAAGCCUGAUCCAGCCAUGCCGCGUGUGUGAAGAAGGUCUUCGGAUUGUAAAGCACUCUAAGUUGGGAGGAAGGGCAGUAAGUUAAUACCUUGCUGUUUUGACGUUACCAACAGAAUAAGCACCGGCUAACUUCGUG
rnacentral:rRNA from 1 species